rnacentral:lncRNA from 1 species
AGGACCUACAAGAAAAGUCUCCGAUCAGAGUUGGCUUCGAUGGAGAUCCUCCAAUGCUCAAGUCAGAUCCCUGAUACAGAUAAAAAGGAGUGAGCAUGUUGAGAGAGAGAUUUUUUAUACCUUGAGGGUCUCUUAUGGGCCUUUUUUUAUAAACGAGACUGAAGAUUAGUGAGAAUGGAGGAUCAGGUGGUUAGCCUUAUUUUAUCUAACGAGAUUCAGU